AACGAACGCUGGCGGCGCGCCUAAUACAUGCAAGUCGAGCGAGAAGGUGUAGCAAUACACUUGUAAAGCGGCGAACGGGUGAGGAAUACAUGGGUAAUCUACCAUCGAGUGGGGAAUAACCAACCGAAAGGUUGGCUAAUACCGCGUACGCCUCCGAAUCUUCGGGUUCGGAGGGAAAGCUGCACUGUGAGUGUAGCGCUCUUUGAUGAGCUCAUGUCCUAUCAGCUUGUUGGUAGGGUAACGGCCUACCAAGGCUUUGACGGGUAGCUGGUCUGAGAGGACGAUCAGCCACACUGGCACUGCGACACGGGCCAGACUCCUACGGGAGGCAGCAGUAAGGAAUAUUGCGCAAUGGGCGAAAGCCUGACGCAGCGACGCCGCGUGGGGGAUGAAGGUCUGCGGGUUGUAAAGCA
rnacentral:rRNA from 1 species